UGUGUAACAUCUGUUUGCCAUAACUAAU
rnacentral:piRNA from 1 species